GAUGAACGCUGGCGGCGUGCCUAAUACAUGCAAGUCGAGCGAACAGAUAAGGAGCUUGCUCCUUUGACGUUAGCGGCGGACGGGUGAGUUACACGUGGAUAACCUACCUAUAAGACUGGGAUAACUUCGGGAAACCGGAGCUAAUACCGGAUAACAUAUUGAACCGCAUGGUUCAAUAGUGAAAGGCGGCUUUGCUGUCACUUAUAGAUGGUUCCGAGCCGUAUGAGCUAGUUGGUAAGGUAACGGCUUACCAAGGCGACGAUGCGUAGCCGACCUGAGAGGGUGAUCGCCCACACUGGAACUGAGACACGGUCCAGACUCCUACGGGAGGCAGCAGUAGGGAAUCUUCCGCAAUGGGCGAAAGCCUGACGGAGCAACGCCGCGUGAGUGAUGAAGGUCUUCGGAUCGUAAAACUCUGUUAUCAGGGAAGAACAAAUGUGUAAGUAACUGUGCACAUCUUGACGGUACCUGAUCAGAAAGCCACGGCUAACUACGUG
rnacentral:rRNA from 1 species